AACAGAUCAGGUCAUCUGCACACAAUCCAGCCCUUUAUUCUGAACCUGCCAAAUUUAGAAUAUACAGAUCUUCCAUGAAGGCAGCUGGGUAGAUUUAUAGCAGAGGGAAAUGAAUCUCUGGUCCCUUUAUGUGCAUAUUUGGGUAAUUCAAAGUUGUGUAGCAAAAAGGGUAUAUGAAACAUAAUGUUUAGUAGAUGUUCUUUUGAAAUGAAGUAAAGACUUCUGCUGAAAUUGGAGGUGAUUCCUUUAACAGCUGUGUUCUUGAUAAUUUAUAGCCAAGAACAGAAACAAAAGAUUUUAUUUUUCUAGAUGAGAUUCAAAGAAAAAACAAAGAAAAUUUCAGAUAUCCUGGAUCAAAAUUUAGAAUCUCAGUCUCUAAUUGAUGUCAUUAAAAUUUCUCAAAAUUAAAAAAAAAAAAGAAAAAGAGAAAAGAGAAAGGAAAGCCCAAAUAUAAAUAUAUAUGUUUGGCUAUGAUAUCUUACGUCAGACGUGAUGGAAACAAAGAUAUUUCCGGCAAUUGCCUGGCCAGCUAGUUGCCAAGGAACAAGAAUGGUCUGGAGAGAAGCUGAAUAUUUAAUACCCAGGUGGUUCAGAUUCACAUCUAGAUUACUAAAACGCUAAUAACAAAUGGGUUAAAAUAAUAAAUGGAUUUGAUAUUCAUUUAAAGAUUGAGGUUGAACCGACAAUAAUAUAUAUCCCAUGUUCUAUAUCUGUUCUUCUGAACUACAUUAACACUAAAAUGUUAGAGAUUAGUGUGUAAAAGAAUUCUCUUAAUACAAGUUAACACCUAGUCAUUAUUAGCUGAUCCUUCUUCCCAGAUGAAGAACUGGGAUGGAUGUUUAGGGAAAUUGAUAAGGGUAUAGAGAAGAGCUUUAGAAUAAUUUAAUCAGUAUUUGACCUAACAAGAUUCAAGCAGAAAGAUCACAAAGAUAUACCUACGAUGAUUAUUGGAUCUGUACAUUUUUGACUUUGAAACAAUCAUUACAUCGAUAAUUUUCAGUGCAUUAAAAGAAGUGGGACUCUUUCUUAAUGCUAAAACAUUACAUCAUUUGUUGCAUUUCUCUCUUCUCUUUACAUAUUCAACAUGCAAUACAGACCAGAUAAUUGCUACAAAAGCAAAAGAUUUUCCCUUUUUCUUUCAUUUAAUAGCCUAAUGGUAUGCAUAAUAAUUCUUUCAUAGCAACAUUUGAAGUAGGACAAGGACAACUCCAACCAACUCUCCAUUACCGCAUUCUCUAAGUAUAUGGCUAUGUUUGAAAAUAUUAACUGUUUUAGCAGCGAAUAGCUGUUUUUAUAAUAAUUAGCUAAUAAAUAAUAGUGUUUUGACUGAGCUAAAAAUAAUAACAUUCCUUUUAAAAUUGAUGCCAAAUAGAGCUUAUAUGCUGGUUCUGAAAGGAGACAUAAGAAGGAAAAUAUUUCUACACGGUUUAUUAUAGAGAAAUUAGGAAAUAUUUUGUAAUAAUAUUACUUGUUUGUCUGCAAGUUGCAAGGGUACCUGAAAGAACUUAGAAAUCUUCUACGUGUGGGGCCAUCAACUAUUGUUUGCCAAUAUCUACCAAAUCUAUAGCACUAUACAGAAUUUGUCUCCACUUAGAACAAUCAUUGAAUAUUAGAAUCAGAUUAAUGAGUUGUGAAGCAAUGAAUAGAGAAUGUAGGCCAUAGCAUACCUGAUUGAGCUUGCUGGGUCAUUAAUAUCUUCCUCACAGGCUCAGCCUCCCAAUUAAUAGUUGAGAAUAACACCUACCAAAACAGAUGUACCAUAAUUGACUCUUAUUGCUACUCUCAUGGUAGCUCAAGUUUCUUAGUCCAAGCAGUUAUAUGCCAAUUUUUGUUCACAACUAUUCUCUUUUGGAGAAUACAGGCUGAACUUUCACAGCCCUUUAGAGAUGAUGCUGGUGAUUGGAACUAGAGCCACGCUUCUGAUAAUUAGCCAUAACUUUUUGCAAGGAACAGGUUCCUUCUUUGAAAGCAUGAAAAUGAGAUCAUC
rnacentral:lncRNA from 1 species